rnacentral:lncRNA from 1 species
UUUUUCUUUUUUUUAAUAAAAUUAUAGAUAUAUAGAUGUAGAUAUAAAAACAUAAAACAGACACAACGCAAGCGGACGCUGUCGUGUGCUUACUCUCAGGUCCCUGACACCAAGGGAAGCACGGACCCCCUCCCCAGUGUGCUUUCCCGCGGCGCAAGCACCGCAGCCAGGCCAGGGCUGGGGACGUGGCAUACCUUGGGGCGGGGAUUCUCCAGUUUGGCAGGGAGGGCCUGAGGGCUGGGGAGGGGGCUCUGGGUGUCACUGGCCCCCUGUGGCAGCAUCACCCCCGUGCCUGCUCCCGCCUGCCCCCCGUCGCCUCCCACAAGAGCAUGAAGCAAAGGUUAAGGCUUUGAUGAAAGGGACAGCGGCGGCCGGAGCACUGACACAUCAGACACGGUGCGGCAGCACAGCACACAGACACGGGACACAAGCCCGCCCGCCGGGCAACACAGGACACAUGGAGCCGGGCCCCCCGCCACAGCUGGCUGGCUGGCCGUCUGUCCACCUAUCCACCACCACCCAGAGCAGGCCAGGGCAGAAGCAUUGGCCUUGCCAAGCUACAAGCUUCCAGCGGGGUCCGUGAAAGGCAACACGUUAGUUAGGAGUAGCCUGGCGGGGGACACUCGGUCCCGGAGCCCACAGGCUGUGUUGGAAGGAAGGUGGGGGCUCUGGAUGCCUCUGUCCAUCUCUGGGACCCGUCCGUAAGGGGGCCGUUGGGGGCUGGCCUGGCGAUGAUCUGGGGUGCAUGGGUGAUGGGAGUGGGCCAAGCUUGGCUGAGAGAGGGUGCCCCAAAGAGGCUGACUGGGGCCCCUCACUGCCCCAGCCAUGGGACGGGCCCAGACACAGAACAGCCCAGUGGCCCUUGGCCCAGUGAGCCGACUUCCCCAUGGGCAGAUGAGUGGACGGGCAGGCAGAGCGCUUGGGGCAAGCUGUGGAGGCGUGGCACUCUCUCCCGCUGAUGGGUCCACACCAGGUUGGGGUGGUUCUCUGUCCCUGGGGCAGAGAAGUCGGUGGGGGGAGCACGCUGCGGGGUCCUGGUCCCCGUGGCACCACGGCAGAUGGGUGGCAGUCAGUCCUCACACCGAGAUCUCGUACGUGGUCCCACCCACGCCGGAUACCUUCUUAACCAGCGUGUGCCUCGUAGGGCUGGCAGAGGGCCCUGAGGGGCCGGUGGCAGGUCCCAGCCGGGCCAGGCCCGGGGACUGCCCAUUUAGCUUACUUGGGGGAGUCUUCAGCUGAGGGUGGUCCCUGCAUCAAAACAAGCACAUACACGCAUGCACACAGUGAACACAGGAACACAUGGGGACAGAGGACAGAGGAGGCAGCAGGACAGAGACGACGCAGACGUGGACUAGUGUAGCCGGGUCCACGGGGCCCCAGGCAGUCCCUGCCCUCUGGGCUCGGAGGGUUCACCUGGAAAGCAGGCGGGAGAUGCAGAGCCUGCCUGGGGAGUGGCUGUGCCGUCACAGGACAGACAGAUGUCACCACAACUGCCACCACCCUCCCGGGCCCCUGGGUCCCUCCUAGGCAGCACUGGCCCCAGAGAGCAUGGGGCAGCCAGGUGGGCAGUGACCGGAGCCCCUGCCCUGCCCUGGGAGCCUGGUCUCUCUGCCUGGCCUCAUUCCUGCUCUCUCUCAGGAAAACGAGGGGCUGCCCUCCUGCCCACUAGCGCUGACCAACAGUAGCUCUACCCUUGCUGCUUAAACCUUCUUGAGGCGAGAGCCCUUUGUCCCAGGGCUGCGAUCCCUGCCUGGCUGCAAUGCUGCCCACUUCUAGAUCUCGGGCCCCCCAUUCAUCACUGCCAAUGGCAGCCUCCUCCCCAACUCCACAAAAGCUGAACAGACUCCCACGCUGUGGGGUAGGGGAGGUCUGCUCAGGGCUGGAUGGACUGCUGUGCCCUCAGCCCCUUUGUGGCCAAGUGGCCUGGGCUGGGCUGGGCUGGGCUCUCCCCCUGGGGCCGCAUCUGCUGACGGGAAACAGCUGAGCCUGUGCUUGAGGUUUCCAGGCCUGGACCGGGAGACAGACGCCAUGAGGACACCAAGCGCCGCAGCCUGGGUCCUGGCCCCAGCAGGUGUGCAGUUCUCCUACCUGGGCCUGGGCCUGCGCGCCAGCUGACCCCGCUGUCUCAGUUACCAACCUGCUGGUUGCCUGGAGCCAGCCUGCUUUCUCCAAUCCUCAGUUUCCCCACCUACGAGCAGGGAAACCCCUGCUUCCUAGAACUAUGUCCCACAGGGAGGGCCAGGAACUGGUCACCCAGGGUGGCACAUUCUGCGGCUAGGUUAUGUUCUCAGCCCCAGCCUCCAAGAGAUGCAGCAAAGCAGACCCAGGGAGAGCCCUGGGUGGACAGGGCCACUGUGACCCAGGAAGCCAGAGCCACAGCCUAAAGGAGGCCCAGGCUGCCGCAUGACACCGGCCCCAAGAAAGCCCCACGGCCUCCCACAUGCUGGGUCUAUGCCAGCUCUGGGGGAACGAGUUGUUGGGAUGAGGACACAAAUUCUCAUACCCUGUCCCCAGAGCGUGCCCAGGACAUCCUCAGAGCUGGGCCACAUGGGCUAGCCAGGGCCUUCAAGGCAGGGUGAGGCGCAUCCUCCCUGUCCUGACCCCAGAGAAAAACUCAGGCCCCUGGGAUGACCUAUGAGUGCCCAGCCAAGAGGGGCCCUGCAGAUGGCUGGACAGCUGCCCUGUGCAAGGAAGCCCACCCGCACCUCCCGGCACCCACCUCUGCACGGCCAGCGAGGGCGGUGGCUCUGGGAGGUCCGUGUGGAUGAAGGCGACAGCUUUGGGGCCUGCGUAGGACGGUGAGUGGGGAGUGCCGGGCGGGAGGGCAGGCCCUGUCGUGCAGGCGACCUAUGUGAGCCACUGCUGGGCCGGGGCCCGGGGUGCUGCUGGCCUGAUCAGCCUGCAGGGAGGAGGACGUCCGCGGUGCACGGCUCACGGAGCUGGACAGCGAGGACAGUGAUGUCUGCAGGGCAGGGUUGCGGGCGCCGCCAAAGCCGGGCCCGGCCACAAGGUCGUCUCUGGAGCCGUAGCGCAGCGUGGAACCUCGGGGGCCCUCGGACAGCACACUGGCCUGCUGCAGACUGUAGGAGCUGGGCGCGUCAUAGACGCCUGAGUCGCCGAAGAGAGAGUCGGCCUGGGAGCGCAGCAGGCGCUCACGCUCCUCCCUGUCCUUGCGCUCCUGGAUGGAUGCCAUGAUGGUCCUGGACAGGUUGUCGUAGCGCACAGGCGAGGGCUCCCGGGGCCUGGGGCCCAGCACGGGGCUGAAGCUGCGGGGCAGGGGGCCGUGGCGGGUCGCCCGUCGCCCCCAGGGUGCAGGUAGGGUGAGUGGUAUCCGGCCACGCCAACUGCUGGAUGGGCGGGGCAGGCGUGGCCACCAGGUGAGCCAGGGUUGAGCAGGCUGUCGUAGGACAGGCUGCCGUUGCGGUUGGGCAGUGCAUGGGGGGCAAAGAUGCUACGGUGGGGCGUGGGGGGCCCACCCUCAGAGCGGAGGGGCUGCAGGGCCACGUGGUCCCCGCCCGGCCGAGGCCUUGAGGCUCAGGGAACGCAAAGCGCCCGAGAAGGCAUCAGAGGCGCUAAGCGGGGGGGAUGGCGGGUAGGCUGCGU